rnacentral:pre_miRNA from 1 species
GGGGGGAGGGGGUGGUCCCUCAGCCAAGAUUGUGAGAGGGCACAGGCUAGGCCAAGGGACCCCACUGGUGCAUG